rnacentral:rRNA from 1 species
AGAGUUUGAUCCUGGCUCAGGGUGAACGCUGGCGGCGUGCCUAACACAUGCAAGUCGAGCGGGUACCCGCAAGGGUACCAGCGGCGCACGGGUGAGUAACACGUGGGUAAUCUACCCCUCGGAGGGGGAUAACCGGGGGAAACUCCGGCUAAUACCCCAUACGAUCCAACAACACAAGUUGUUGGAUGAAAGGAGCGUUUGCUCCGCCGAGGGAUGAGCCCGCGGCCCAUCAGGUAGUUGGUGGGGUAAUGGCCCACCAAGCCUACGACGGGUAGCCGGCCUGAGAGGGUGGUCGGCCACAAGGGCACUGAGACACGGGCCCUACUCCUACGGGAGGCAGCAGUGGGGAAUCUUGGACAAUGGGCGAAAGCCUGAUCCAGCGACGCCGCGUGGGGGAUGAAGCCCUUCGGGGUGUAAACCCCUGUUGCGAGGGAGGAAUAAGGCCUGGAGGAAAUGCCAGGCCGAUGACUGUACCUCGCGAGGAAGCCCCGGCUAACUACGUGCCAGCAGCCGCGGUAAUACGUAGGGGGCGAGCGUUACCCGGAUUCACUGGGCGUAAAGCGGGUGUAGGCGGCUCGGUAAGUCGGGUGUGAAAUCCCACAGCUCAACUGUGGAAUUGCGCCCGAAACUGCUGAGCUUGGGGCCGGUAGAGGGAGACGGAACUGCCGGUGUAGGGGUGAAAUCCGUAGAUAUCGGCAGGAACGCCGGUGGGGAAGCCGGUCUCCUGGGCCGCGCCCGACGCUGAGACCCGAAAGCUAGGGGAGCAAACCGGAUUAGAUACCCGGGUAGUCCUAGCCGUAAACGAUGCCCACUAGGUGUGGGGGAUUAAUUCCUCCGUGCUGUAGCUAACGCGUUAAGUGGGCCGCCUGGGGAGUACGCCCGCAAGGGUGAAACUCAAUGAAUUGACGG